UACGGAGGGUGCGAGCGUUGUCCGGAAUCAUUGGGCGUAAAGGGCGCGUAGGUGGCCCGGUCAGUUCGUGGUGAAAGCGCGGGGCUCAACCCUGCGUCGGCCAUGAAUACUGCCGCGGCUGGAGCACUGUAGAGGCAGGCGGAAUUCCGGGUGUAGCGGUGGAAUGCGCAGAUAUCAGGAGGAACACCGAUGGCGAAGGCAGCUCGCUGGGACGGUACUGACGCUGAGGCGCGAAAGUGUGGGGAGCGAACAGG
rnacentral:rRNA from 1 species